rnacentral:rRNA from 1 species
AGAGUUUGAUCCUGGCUCAGAUUGAACGCUGGCGGCAUGCUUUACACAUGCAAGUCGAACGGCAGCGGGGGCUUCGGCCUGCCGGCGAGUGGCGAACGGGUGAGUAAUGCAUCGGAACGUGCCCAGUCAUGGGGGAUAACUACGCGAAAGCGUAGCUAAUACCGCAUACGCCCUGAGGGGGAAAGCGGGGGAUCGCAAGACCUCGCGUGAUUGGAGCGGCCGAUGUCGGAUUAGCUGGUUGGUGGGGUAAAGGCCUACCAAGGCGACGAUCCGUAGCGGGUCUGAGAGGAUGAUCCGCCACACUGGGACUGAGACACGGCCCAGACUCCUACGGGAGGCAGCAGUGGGGAAUUUUGGACAAUGGGGGCAACCCUGAUCCAGCCAUGCCGCGUGAGUGAAGAAGGCCUUCGGGUUGUAAAGCUCUUUCAGACGGAAAGAAAUCGGGCGGGUGAA